UCAAAUCUCGGUAGAACCUCCA
rnacentral:miRNA from 1 species